GCUAAACGCGAAGAACCUUACCUAGGCUUGACAUGUAUUGCUAAGCACGUGAAAGCGUGUGACCCUUCGGGGACCUUACACAGGUGCUGCAUGGCCGUCGUCAGCUCGUGUCGUGAGAUGUUCGGUUAAGUCCGGCAACGAGCGCAACCCCUGUGGUUAGUUACCAGCACAUAAUGGUGGGGACUCUAGCCAGACUGCCCAGAUCAACUGGGAGGAAGGUGGGGACGACGUCAAGUCAUCAUGGCCCUUACGAGUAGGGCUACACACGUGCUACAAUGGCGAGUACAGAGGGUUGCAAAGCCGCGAGGUGGAGCUAAUCUCACAAAGCUCGUCGUAGUCCGGAUUGGAGUCUGCAACUCGACUCCAUGAAGUCGGAAUUGCUAGUAAUGGCGUGUCAGCAAUAGCGCCGUGAAUACGUUCCCGGGUCUUGUACACACCG
rnacentral:rRNA from 1 species